CAAUAGCGUAUAUUAAAGUUGUUGCAGUUAAAAAGCUCGUAGUUGGAUUUCUGGUCGGAAGCUCCUGUCCUCUGAUGAGCGUACAAGUGCGUCCUACCAUCCUUCUGUUAACCUUUAAGGCUUUCGCGGCUUUCUAGGGGCUCAGAUAUUUUACCUUGAGAAAAUUAGAGUGUUUCAGGCAGGCUAGCGCCGGAAUACAUUAGCAUGGAAUAAUGGAAUAGGACUUUUGCCUCUUCUGUUGGUCAUGAGGCUCGAGUAAUGAUUAAUAGGGAUAGUUGGGGGCAUUAGUACUUAACUGUCAGAGGUGAAAUUCUCGGAUUUGUUAAAGACUAACGUAUGCGAAAGCAUUUGCCAAGGAUGUUUUCAUUAA
rnacentral:rRNA from 1 species